rnacentral:rRNA from 1 species
AGCGAACGCUGGCGGCAGGCUUAACACAUGCAAGUCGAGCGGGUCCUUCGGGGUCAGCGGCGGACGGGUGAGUAACGCGUGGGAACGUGCCUUCUGGUUCGGAAUAACCCUGGGAAACUAGGGCUAAUGCCGGAUACGCCCUUUUGGGGAAAGGUUUACUGCCGGAAGAUCGGCCCGCGUCUGAUUAGCUGGUUGGUGGGGUAACGGCCUACCAAGGCGACGAUCAGUAGCUGGUCUGAGAGGAUGAUCAGCCACACUGGGACUGAGACACGGCCCAGACUCCGACGGGAGGCAGCAGUGGGGAAUAUUGAACAAUGGGCGCAAGCCUGAUCCAGCCAUGCCGCGUGAGUGAUGAAGGCCUUAGGGUCGUAAAGCUCUUUUAUCCGGGACGAUAUUGACGGUACCGGAGGAAUAAGCCCCGGCUAACUUCGUGCCAGCCGCCGCGGUAA